rnacentral:rRNA from 1 species
AUUGAACGCUGGCGGAAUGCUUUACACAUGCAAGUCGAACGGCAGCACGGACUUCGGUCUGGUGGCGAGUGGCGAACGGGUGAGUAAUACAUCGGAACGUGCCCAAUCGUGGGGGAUAACGUAGCGAAAGCUACGCUAAUACCGCAUACGAUCUAAGGAUGAAAGCGGGGGAUCGCAAGACCUCGCGCGAUGGGAGCGGCCGAUGGCAGAUUAGGUAGUUGGUAGGGUAAAGGCCUACCAAGCCGACGAUCUGUAGCUGGUCUGAGAGGAUGAUCAGUCACACUGGGACUGAGACACGGCCCAGACUCCUGCGGGAGGCAGCAGUGGGGAAUUUUGGACAAUGGACGCAAGUCUGAUCCAGCCAUUCCGCGUGCAGGAUGAAGGCCCUCGGGUUGUAAACUGCUUUUGUACAGAACGAAAAGGCUCUGGUUAAUACCUAGGGCUCAUGACGGUACCGUAAGAAUAAGCACCGGCUAACUACGUGCCAGCAGCCGCCGUAA